AUACGGAGGAUCCGAGCGUUAUCCGGAUUUAUUGGGUUUAAAGGGUGCGUAGGCGGCCUUUUAAGUCAGCGGUGAAAGUCUGUGGCUCAACCAUAGAAUUGCCGUUGAAACUGGGGGGCUUGAGUAUGUUUGAGGCAGGCGGAAUGCGUGGUGUAGCGGUGAAAUGCAUAGAUAUCACGCAAAACCCCGAUUGCGAAGGCAGCCUGCCAAGCCAUGACUGACGCUGAUGCACGAAAGCGUGGGGAUCAAACAGGAUUAGAUACCCUGGUAGUCCACGCAGUAAACGAUGAUCACUAGCUGUUUGCGAUACACUGUAAGCGGCACAGCGAAAGCGUUAAGUGAUCCACCUGGGGAGUACGCCGGCAAAGGUGAAACUCAAAUGAAUUGACGGG
rnacentral:rRNA from 1 species